rnacentral:rRNA from 1 species
AGUCGAGCGGAAACGAGUUAUCUGACCCUUCGGGUGACGAUAACGGCGUCGAGCGGCGGACGGGUGAGUAAUGCCUGGGAAAUUGCCCUGAUGUGGGGGAUAACCAUUGGAAACGAUGGCUAAUACCGCAUAAUAGCUUCGGCUCAAAGAGGGGGACCUUCGGGCCUCUCGCGUCAGGAUAUGCCCAGGUGGGAUUAGCUAGUUGGUGAGGUAAGGGCUCACCAAGGCGACGAUCCCUAGCUGGUCUGAGAGGAUGAUCAGCCACACUGGAACUGAGACACGGUCCAGACUCCUACGGGAGGCAGCAGUGGGGAAUAUUGCACAAUGGGCGCAAGCCUGAUGCAGCCAUGCCGCGUGUAUGAAGAAGGCCUUCGGGUUGUAAAGUACUUUCAGCAGUGAGGAAGGUGGUAGUGUUAAUAGCCCUAUUAUUUGACGUUAGCUGCAGAAGAAGCACCGGCUAACUCCGUGCCAGCAGCCGCGGUAAUACGGAGGGUGCGAGCGUUAAUCGGAAUUACUGGGCGUAAAGCGCAUGCAGGUGGAUGAUUAAGUCAGAUGUGAAAGCCCGGGGCUCAACCUCGGAAUAGCAUUUGAAACUGGUCAUCUAGAGUACUGUAGAGGGGGGUAGAAUUUCAGGUGUAGCGGUGAAAUGCGUAGAGAUCUGAAGGAAUACCGGUGGCGAAGGCGGCCCCCUGGACAGAUACUGACACUCAGAUGCGAAAGCGUGGGGAGCAAACAGGAUUAGAUACCCUGGUAGUCCACGCCGUAAACGAUGUCUACUUGGAGGUUGUGGCCUUGAGCCGUGGCUUUCGGAGCUAACGCGUUAAGUAGACCGCCUGGGGAGUACGGUCGCAAGAUUAAAACUCAAAUGAAUUGACGGGGGCCCGCACAAGCGGUGGAGCAUGUGGUUUAAUUCGAUGCAACGCGAAGAACCUUACCUACUCUUGACAUCCAGAGAACUUUCCAGAGAUGGAUUGGUGCCUUCGGGAACUCUGAGACAGGUGCUGCAUGGCUGUCGUCAGCUCGUGUUGUGAAAUGUUGGGUUAAGUCCCGCAACGAGCGCAACCCUUAUCCUUGUUUGCCAG